AUUGAACGCUGGCGGCAGGCCUAACACAUGCAAGUCGAACGAGUGGCGGACGGGUGAGUAAUGUCUGGGAAACUGCCCGAUGGAGGGUGAUAACUACUGGAAACGGUAGCUAAUACCUCAUACCAUCGGAUGUGCCCAGAUUGGAUUAGCUAGUAGGUGGGGUAACGGCUCACCUAGGCGACGAUCCCUCGCUGGUCUGAGAGGAUGACCAGCCAGACUGGAACUAGGACACGGUCCAGACUCAUACGGGAGGCAGCAGGGGGGAAUAUGGCACAAUGGGCGAAAGCCUGAUGCAGCCAUGCGGCGGGUAUGAAGAAGGCGUUCGGGUUGUAAAGUACUUUCAGCGAGGAGGCGUUACUCGGAGAAGAAGCACCGGCUAACUACGUGCCAGCAGCCGCGGUAAUAC
rnacentral:rRNA from 1 species